CCUACGGGAGGCAGCAGUGGGGAAUCUUGCGCAAUGGGCGAAAGCCUGACGCAGCAACGCCGCGUGCGGGAAGAAGGCUCUCGGGUUGUAAACCGCUUUCAGCAGGAACGAAAAUGACGGUACUUGCAGAAGAAGGUGCGGCCAACUACGUGCCAGCAGCCGCGGUGACACGUAGGCACCAAGCGUUGUCCGGAUUUAUUGGGCGUAAAGAGCUCGUAGGCGGUUCGGUAAGUCAGGUGUGAAAACUUUGGGCUCAACCCAAAGCCUGCAUCUGAUACUGCUGUGACUAGAGUUCGGUAGGGGAGCGGGGAAUUCCUAGUGUAGCGGUGAAAUGCGCAGAUAUUAGGAGGAACACCGGUGGCGAAGGCGCCGCUCUGGGCCGAAACUGACGCUGAGGAGCGAAAGCGUGGGUAGCAAACAGGAUUAGAUACCCUGGUAGUCCACGCCGUAAACGUUGGGCACUAGGUGUGGGGUUUCAACCAACGAAAUCCGCGCCGUCGCUAACGCAUUAAGUGCCCCGCCUGGGGAAUACGGCCGCAAGGUUAAAACCNCAAAUAGAAUAGACGGCGNGAGACGNGCCGACGACGACGACGAGGGAGAGG
rnacentral:rRNA from 1 species